rnacentral:rRNA from 1 species
AGGAUGAACGCUGGCGGCGUGCCUAAUACAUGCAAGUCGAACGAGUCCUUCGGGACGAGUGGCGGACGGGUGAGUAACACGUUGGUACCUGCCCCGAAGUGGGGAAUAACUGCCCGAAAGGGUGGCUAAUACCGCAUAAUACCGCAAGGUUAAAGCAGUAAUGCGCUUCGGGAGGGGCCUGCGUCCCAUUAGCUAGUUGGUAGGGUAAUGGCCUACCAAGGCGACGAUGGGUAGCUGGAUCGAGAGGUUGACCAGCCACACUGGGACUGAGAUACGGCCCAGACUCCUACGGGAGGCAGCAGUAAGGAAUCUUCCACAAUGGACGAAAGUCUGAUGGAGCAACGCCGCGUGCAGGAUGACGGUCUUCGGGUUGUAAACUGCUUUUAUAUGGGAAGAUUAUGACGGUACCAUAUGAAUAAGGACCGGCUAACUACGCGCCAGCAGCCGC